GGCAUAGUUCAGUUGGUAGAACGCUAGCUUCGGGAGCUAGAGGCCGCAGGUUCGAGUCCUACUGCU
rnacentral:tRNA from 1 species